GACAGAGGCCUCGAGCGUUAGGCGGAAUCACUGGGCUUAAAGCGUGUGUAGGCGGGCCCGUAAGUGUCUUGUGAAAUCCCACGGCUCAACCGUGGAACUGCUGGGCAUACUGCGGGUCUUGGGCCAACUAGGGGCAGCCGGAACAAGCGGUGGAGCGGUGAAAUGCGUAGAUAUUAGGAAGAACACCAGUGGCGAAGGCGGCUCACUGGCCCGGUACUGACGCUGAGGCGCGAAAGCGUGGGGAGCAAACAGG
rnacentral:rRNA from 1 species